rnacentral:rRNA from 1 species
UACGAAGGGUGCAAACGUUGCUCGGAAUUAUUGGGCGUAAAGCGCACGUAGGCGGCUUUGUAAGUCGGGGGUGAAAUCCUGGAGCUCAACUCCAGAACUGCCUUCGAUACUGGAAGACUUGAGUCCGGGAGAGGUGAGUGGAACUGCGAGUGUAGAGGUGAAAUUCGUAGAUAUUCGCAAGAACACCAGUGGCGAAGGCGGCUCACUGGCCCGGUACUGACGCUGAGGUGCGAAAGCGUGGGGAGCGAACAGG